UCAGUCAACUUAUCUUACUCUAAUGUUGAUCAUAUCGAUGGAGGUGAAAUAACGUUUCCAAUCACUGAUGAACAGGUCCAAUGCGGAAUGAAAAAUAUGCACACCUAAAAGAUUGGGAAUAUGCUGGGAAAAUUGGAUUUUUGUAAUAUUUUAGAAGUCAAUCCAAAAAUUGUGAAGUUCUCCCGGGAAAAAAACAAUGAGCGCUUGAUACUGCAGCUAAAGCAGCCUAUAAACUUGCCUAUAAACUUGCCCGAAGACCUCGAAUACAAGUAUGGCAAAGAGUUUACUAAAUAUGGGGCGAAUCACGCUAGUGAAUACUAGAAAAACUAGUAAAUCUAGUGCGAAGAAUGACGUCACAAACGAAGCCA